rnacentral:rRNA from 1 species
UAUGAAUGGUGUCACGAGGGUCUCACUGUCUUAAGAAAAUUUCCAGUGAAAUUGAAUUUGUAGUGAAGAUGCUACAUCCAAAUUGUUAGACAAGAAGACCCCAUGAAACUUUACUGGAAACUUAUGUGGCUGACUUAAAUAGUUUAAAAAUGUGGUGCGGGUCAACUAAGGCUAGAAAAGCGCACUUUUUUAUUUGAAGAAAGGCAACUCACGAACUUAUGUUUUUGGGGUUUGAUAAGUGGGACAGUUUGGUUGGGGCGACCGCCUUUAAAAAAGUAACGAAGGUGGGCUUAAGAUACAUAUUUAAUUGUGUCUGACUGCCAGGGGGAGACCCAGAGCAGACACUUAUCUUUGGAUGGUGGGUUUAAGUGACCCGUUAAUUUAGGGUGAAAUAGUUAACGAUAAACAGAUAAAAG